UAUAGUUUGCAUAAAAAACAGGAGAAAAGUAAGGGGCGAGGAUAGAAUUCGUCGCCAGGGCAAUUUGGGGUUUUCAGAAACAGAACUUGUACGCAAAUUAACAUGUGGUACUAUUCAAGGUAGGAAUAAUAAUUAAUCAACAUCACAGAUCAAGCUAGUCCUAUGAACAGGUAAGGUCAUUUACUACAGGAACAUACUUGGCAGUAAAAAUAUACGAUGUAGCGACAUUGUUUGGGGAGCCGCGGUUGUUUUGCACACCGAAUUUGAAUACUAGUUUUUUUGAGAAGUUGUUGACUGUACUAGACAAGUGCGGAACAAAUAUAAUAUUAUUGAACUGUGGUCCAGGUAAUAAAGUGGUGUAACAAAUGUUCUAUUCAUGUGAAUACGCACACGUUGAAAAACAAUAUAGAAACACAAUUGGUCGCUGAUAGGUUGAAAUAAAUCGUGAAUGUAAUUGUACAUGCGUGUCAUGGAUACCUGAAUACGCUUGGGCUUCCUUAACAAUACGGCCAAAUACUGUAUUGGCGGAUAAAAAAUCUUUCAAAUAGGUGUUUUCAAAUUACAAAACCACGAGCAUUUUCAAAAUAAAAAAAUAAUUGUUAAAAAUCCACUAUAUUCUGCAAAAGAUUUCAUUGUGACUUUAGUUUUUUCGAAAACGUUUUCUAAAAUUCCCAAGACCAAAUUUUACCCCAGAAACAUGACCAAUAUUGACAGCUUCUAACCAAUUUGACUUGCGAUUGAUUGGCAUCAAGAUUUUUACUCAAAAUGGUGGCCAGAUUAAAAUUUAUACCAGUAACCAUUCAUUCGUCACAUUUACUACAAAAAACCUAAUUGCUUAACUGAUACUGGCUUGUAUUGCGCGCAUGUUUAAUAGGUUAGCAAAGUCUUUCUAGGCAACUUGAUCUCUCAAAAAAAAUUAGAGACGUUAAAAGGUGGUGCAAAAAUUUUCAAACAAGAAAAUUCAGCAAGAAUAUGAAAAAUAGAGUUUACCAAAGAUAAAUUCAGUGUACAGGAUCUGAUCAAUACUUUUGCACUUUGUGUGGUAAUAUUUAAUGCGAUUGAAUUGAUAAACAUAAUAUAUUUUUAUCGCCUUUAUUAUUGAGUAAUAAAAUACAUAAAAAUCUAAAAUUAAAUUCGGACCGGCCUUAUCGGUCGGUUAAUGGGUCUCCGAAAAGAAAAAGGCUGGUUCUAGCUCCUGUAUCGUGCAGUGUUCCCCCUGGUAAUAUGAGUGUGGGCAUAUCUUGCAAAAUCCAUACUGGCGAGCCAUUUCAACACAUUAUAGGUGAACAUCAAGAUUAUAGAUUAAGGCUUGUCGGAAACUAUUACAAUAUUGUCUGUAACUUUCUGUGUAUUGAUCAUCAUAUCCCAAAGUUUUCAAUAUAAAGCUUAAAAGUGGAAUAGCUCCUAUAUAAUAAUACUCGGUGUGCAAAUACAUUAUUUUAAUGAAAUGCAAUCGAUUAGCAUAUAAAAUUCAUUUGUUGAGGGGGGCACUCAUCCAACAAACUCUAAUUUAAAUUACUAAUCCUUUGAUACAUAUUUGCUACCCGCUUGUCAACAGCCUGUUCACCAUAACAGUAAAGCGACUUUGUCGUAAUAUCUGACUUCAGAAUUUGACUUGCCUGAAACUUGACCACUCUACUGGCGAUUCUGCAAGAAAACUGUCUAAUAGAUUUAUAAAAAUUUAUAAAAAAAAAUAAUUACGCGGGUCAGGUAGCGAGUGCAUACGUGAAAAAUAAUAAUAAAAAAGGACUAAAAAAACCGAAAGUGCGUAAAGCGUGCGUCAAGGUUUCACUGAAGGGAAAGCCCCUUGCUUGAAACCAAGGUUUCAUUUCUCUCGUUUUUAACACUCUCUCACUUUUCAAGCUCGUCGAGGAGCGGUUAGCGAGACUUUCAUCCGCCUAUGAGAUGAUCGCAUUUUAUUUGACAAGUGAUCGGGUUAUUUUAUUCAGUUUAUAUUCAGUCAGGCUACGGUAGGUCAGGUAGUUCGACAGAAGGCAUAGAGAUUGUACGACUUAUUCUUCAAUUAGUUGCAAGAAACAAUAGUGAAAAUAUAACCAGAGAAUUUCGUCGUUUUCCUGACAUUGGAGAACGCCACAUUUGCAAGUCGGAAAACCGCGGGAACUACACUUCAUGACAAAGUGAUUUGGCGCAUCAAUCACACGCACAAAAAGUCGCGAAUUCAGAAAAAAAUGGAGGAGAGGGAGGAGUUUCAAUUGAGGCGGAGAUUAACCACGCCAAGAUGAGGCACCAACAAACAGAGCACCAACUGCAUUUGUAGCUUGUUCAAUUGAUAUAAGAGCCGAAUGAUCGCCGGGAACUUUGCUUUGGCUUUCCUGUUCUUUGGAUGAUGUCUCAUAAUGGUAACUUUC